rnacentral:rRNA from 1 species
UGGCUGGGGGUGAAAGGCCAAUCAAACCGGGAGAUAGCUGGUUCUCCCCGAAAGCUAUUUAGGUAGCGCCUCGUGAAUUCAUCUCCGGGGGUAGAGCACUGUUUCGGCAAGGGGGUCAUCCCGACUUACCAACCCGAUGCAAACUGCGAAUACCGGAGAAUGUUAUCACGGGAGACACACGGCGGGUGCUAACGUCCGUCGUGAAGAGGGAAACAACCCAGACCGCCAGCUAAGGUCCCAAAGUCAUGGUUAAGUGGGAAACGAUGUGGGAAGGCCCAGACAGCCAGGAUGUUGGCUUAGAAGCAGCCAUCAUUUAAAGAAAGCGUAAUAGCUCACUGGUCGAGUCGGCCUGCGCGGAAGAUGUAACGGGGCUAAACCAUGCACCGAAGCUGCGGCAGCGACACUAUGUGUUGUUGGGUAGGGGAGCGUUCUGUAAGCCUGUGAAGGUGGCCUGUGAGGGUUGCUGGAGGUAUCAGAAGUGCGAAUGCUGACAUAAGUAACGAUAAAGCGGGUGAAAAGCCCGCUCGCCGGAAGACCAAGGGUUCCUGUCCAACGUUAAUCGGGGCAGGGUGAGUCGACCCCUAAGGCGAGGCCGAAAGGCGUAGUCGAUGGGAAACAGGUUAAUAUUCCUGUACUUGGUGUUACUGCGAAGGGGGGACGGAGAAGGCUAUGUUGGCCGGGCGACGGUUGUCCCGGUUUAAGCGUGUAGGCUGGUUUUCCAGGCAAAUCCGGAAAACCAAGGCUGAGGCGUGAUGACGAGGCACUACGGUGCUGAAGCGACAAAUGCCCUGCUUCCAGGAAAAGCCUCUAAGCAUCAGGUAACAUCAAAUCGUACCCCAAACCGACACAGGUGGUCAGGUAGAGAAUACCAAGGCGCUUGAGAGAACUCGGGUGAAGGAACUAGGCAAAAUGGUGCCGUAACUUCGGGAGAAGGCACGCUGAUAUGUAGGUGAAGCGACUUGCUCGUGGAGCUGAAAUCAGUCGAAGAUACCAGCUGGCUGCAACUGUUUAUUAAAAACACAGCACUGUGCAAACACGAAAGUGGACGUAUACGGUGUGACGCCUGCCCGGUGCCGGAAGGUUAAUUGAUGGGGUUAGCGGUAACGCGAAGCUCUUGAUCGAAGCCCCGGUAAACGGCGGCCGUAACUAUAACGGUCCUAAGGUAGCGAAAUUCCUUGUCGGGUAAGUUCCGACCUGCACGAAUGGCGUAAUGAUGGCCAGGCUGUCUCCACCCGAGACUCAGUGAAAUUGAACUCGCUGUGAAGAUGCAGUGUACCCGCGGCAAGACGGAAAGACCCCGUGAACCUUUACUAUAGCUUGACACUGAACAUUGAGCCUUGAUGUGUAGGAUAGGUGGGAGGCUUUGAAGUGUGGACGCCAGUCUGCAUGGAGCCGACCUUGAAAUACCACCCUUUAAUGUUUGAUGUUCUAACGUUGGCCCGUAAUCCGGGUUGCGGACAGUGUCUGGUGGGUAGUUUGACUGGGGCGGUCUCCUCCUAAAGAGUAACGGAGGAGCACGAAGGUUGGCUAAUCCUGGUCGGACAUCAGGAGGUUAGUGCAAUGGCAUAAGCCAGCUUGACUGCGAGCGUGACGGCGCGAGCAGGUGCGAAAGCAGGUCAUAGUGAUCCGGUGGUUCUGAAUGGAAGGGCCAUCGCUCAACGGAUAAAAGGUACUCCGGGGAUAACAGGCUGAUACCGCCCAAGAGUUCAUAUCGACGGCGGUGUUUGGCACCUCGAUGUCGGCUCAUCACAUCCUGGGGCUGAAGUAGGUCCCAAGGGUAUGGCUGUUCGCCAUUUAAAGUGGUACGCGAGCUGGGUUUAGAACGUCGUGAGACAGUUCGGUCCCUAUCUGCCGUGGGCGCUGGAGAACUGAGGGGGGCUGCUCCUAGUACGAGAGGACCGGAGUGGACGCAUCACUGGUGUUCGGGUUGUCAUGCCAAUGGCACUGCCCGGUAGCUAAAUGCGGAAGAGAUAAGUGCUGAAAGCAUCUAAGCACGAAACUUGCCCCGAGAUGAGUUCUCCCUGACUCCUUGA